GACGAACGCUGGCGGCGUGCUUAACACAUGCAAGUCGAACGGAAAGGCCCUGCUUUUGGGGGGUGCUCGAGUGGCGAACGGGUGAGUAACACGUGAGUAACCUGCCCUUGACUUUGGGAUAACUUCAGGAAACUGGGGCUAAUACCGGAUAGGAGCUCCUGCUGCAUGGUGGGGGUUGGAAAGUUUCGGCGGUUGGGGAUGGACUCGCGGCUUAUCAGCUUGUUGGUGGGGUAGUGGCUUACCAAGGCUUUGACGGGUAGCCGGCCUGAGAGGGUGACCGGCCACAUUGGGACUGAGAUACGGCCCAGACUCCUACGGGAGGCAGCAGUGGGGAAUAUUGCACAAUGGGCGGAAGCCUGAUGCAGCAACGCCGCGUGCGGGAUGACGGCCUUCGGGUUGUAAACCGCUUUCGCCUGUGACGAAGCGUGAGUGACGGUAAUGGGUAAAGAAGCACCGGCUAACUACGUGCCAGCAGCCGCGGUGAUACGUAGGAUGCGAGCGUUGUCCGGAUUUAUUGGGCGUAAAGGGCUCGUAGGUGGUUGAUCGCGUCGGAAGUGUAAUCUUGGGGCUUAACCCUGAGCGUGCUUUCGAUACGGGUUGACUUGAGGAAGGUAGGGGAGAAUGGAAUUCCUGGUGGAGCGGUGGAAUGCGCAGAUAUCAGGAGGAACACCAGUGGCGAAGGCGGUUCUCUGGGCCUUUCCUGACGCUGAGGAGCGAAAGCGUGGGGAGCGAACAGGCUUAGAUACCCUGGUAGUCCACGCUGUAAACGGUGGGUACUAGGUGUGGGGUCCAUUCCACGGGUUCCGUGCCGUAGCUAACGCUUUAAGUACCCCGCCUGGGGAGUACGGCCGCAAGGCUAAAACUCAAAGGAAUUGACGGGGCCCCGCACAAGCGGCGGAGCAUGCGGAUUAAUUCGAUGCAACGCGUAGAACCUUACCUGGGUUUGACAUGGAUCGGGAGUGCUCAGAGAUGGGUGUGCCUCUUUUGGGGUCGGUUCACAGGUGGUGCAUGCCUGUCGUCAGCUCGUGUCGUGAGAUGUUGGGUUAAGUCCCGCAACGAGCGCAACCCUUGUUCACUGUUGCCAGCACGUUAUGGUGGGGACUCAGUGGAGACCGCCGGGGUCAACUCGGAGGAAGGUGGGGAUGACGUCAAGUCCUCAUGCCCCUUAUGUCCAGGGCUUCACGCAUGCUACAAUGGCUGGUACAGAGAGUGGCGAGCCUGUGAGGGUGAGCGAAUCUCGGAAAGCCGGUCUCAGUUCGGAUUGGGGUCUGCAACUCGACCUCAUGAAGUCGGAGUCGCUAGUAAUCGCAGAUCAGCAACGCUGCGGUGAAUACGUUCCCGGG
rnacentral:rRNA from 1 species